AGUGCCGCAGGGAAGCCGUUAAGUUUGCCGCCUGGGAAGUACGUACGCAAGUAUGAAACUUAAAGGAAUUGGCGGGGGAGCACCACAAGGGGUGAAGCCUGCGGUUCAAUUGGAGUCAACGCCAGAAAUCUUACCCGAAGAGACAGCAGAAUGAAGGUCAAGCUGGAGACUUUACCAGACAAGCUGAGAAGUGGUGCAUGGCCGUCGCCAGCUCGUGCCGUGAGAUGUCCUGUUAAGUCAGGUAACGAGCGAGAUCCCUGCCUCUAGUUGCCACCAUUACUCUCAGGAGUAGUGGGGCGAAUUAGCGGGACCGCCGCAGUUAAUGCGGAGGAAGGAAGGGGCCACGGCAGGUCAGUAUGCCCUGAAACUUUGGGGCCACACGCGGGCUGCAAUGGUAGUGACAAUGGGUUCCGAAUCCGAAAGGUGGAGGUAAUCCUCAAACACUACCACAGUUAUGAUUGAGGGCUGCAACUCGUCCUCAUGAAUAUGGAAUCCCUAGUAACUGCGUGUCAUUACCGCGCAGUGAAUACGUCCCUGCUCCUUGCACACACCGCCCGUCGUUUCAUUGAAGUUUGCUUUUAGCGAGGUGAUGUCUCAUGGCGUCAUCGAACUUGA
rnacentral:rRNA from 1 species